rnacentral:rRNA from 1 species
GACGAACGCUGGCGGCGUGCCUAAUACAUGCAAGUCGAGCGAACAAGGUUGGUACUUGUUCCUCCUGCAUGAGCAGCGAACGGGUGAGUAACGCGUGGGGAAUCUGCCUUUGAGCGGGGGACAACUUCUGGAAACGAAUGCUAAUACCGCAUAAAAACUUUAAACACAUGUUUUAAGAUUGAAAGACGCAAUUGCAUCACUCAAUGAUGAUACCCCGUAGUAUUAGCUAGUUGGUUAGGUAAAGGCCCUCCAAGGCGAUGAUACAUAGCCGACCUGAGAGGGGGAUCGGCCACAACUGGAACGGGGCACGGGCCAAGAUUCUACGGGAGGGCGGAGGAGGGAAACCUCGGCAAUUGAGGGAAGUCUGACCGGGGAACGCCGGGGGGGGGAAGGAGGGUUUCGGAUCGUAAAACUCUGUUGGUAGAGAAGAACGUAGGUGGUAGGGGACUGCGCAUCAAGUGACGGUAACUACUCAGAAAGGCACGGCUAACUACGUG